rnacentral:rRNA from 1 species
UAAAGAAUUUCGGUACGGGAUGGGGAUGCGUUCCAUUAGUUAGUUGGCGGGGUAACGGCCCACCAAGACAACGAUGGAUAGGGGUUCUGAGAGGAAGGUCCCCCACAUUGGAACUGAGACACGGUCCAAACUCCUACGGGAGGCAGCAGUGAGGAAUAUUGGUCAAUGGACGAGAGUCUGAACCAGCCAAGUAGCGUGAAGGAUGACUGCCCUAUGGGUUGUAAACUUCUUUUAUAUGGGAAUAAAAUGUUCCACGUGUGGGAUUUUGUAUGUACCAUAUGAAUAAGGAUCGGCUAACUCCGUGCCAGCAGCCGCGGUAAUACGGAGGAUCCGAGCGUUAUCCGGAUUUAUUGGGUUUAAAGGGAGCGUAGGUGGAUUGUUAAGUCAGUUGUGAAAGUUUGCGGCUCAACCGUAAAAUUGCAGUUGAAACUGGCAGUCUUGAGUACAGUAGAGGUGGGCGGAAUUCGUGGUGUAGCGGUGAAAUGCUUAGAUAUCACGAAGAACUCCGAUUGCGAAGGCAGCUCACUGGACUGCAACUGACACUGAGGCUCGAAAGUGUGGGUAUCAAACAGGAUUAGAUACCCUGGUAGUCCACACAGUAAACGAUGAAUACUCGCUGUUUGCGAUAUACGGCAAGCGGCCA